GACGAACCGUGCGAACGUUGUUCGGAAUCACUGGGCUUAAAGGGCGCGUAGGCGGGUUUGCAAGUCUGCGGUGAAAGCCCCCAGCUUAACUGGGGAAGUGCCGUGGAUACUGCGGACCUUGAGGAGGGUAGGGGCAUCUGGAACAUUGGGUGGGGCGGUGAAAUGCGUUGAUAUCCAAUGGAACUCCGGUGGCGAAGGCGAGGUGCUGGACCCUUUCUGACGCUGAGGCGCGAAAGCCAGGGGAGCAAACGGG
rnacentral:rRNA from 1 species